GAUGAACGCUGGCGGCGUGCCUAAUACAUGCAAGUCGAGCGAACAGACGAGGAGCUUGCUCCUCUGACGUUAGCGGCGGACGGGUGAGUAACACGUGGAUAACCUACCUAUAAGACUGGGAUAACUUCGGGAAACCGGAGCUAAUACCGGAUAAUAUAUUGAACCGCAUGGUUCAAUAGUGAAAUACGGUUUUGCUGUCACUUAUAGAUGGAUCCGCGCCGCAUUAGCUAGUUGGUAAGGUAACGGCUUACCAAGGCAACGAUGCGUAGCCGACCUGAGAGGGGGAUCGGCCACACUGGAACGGAGACACGGUCCAGACUCCUACGGGAGGCAGCAGUAGGGAAUCUUCCGCAAUGGGCGAAAGCCUGACGGAGCAACGCCGCGUGAGUGAUGAAGGUCUUCGGAUCGUAAAACUCUGUUAUUAGGGAAGAACAAAUGUGUAAGUAACUAUGCACGUCUUGACGGUACCUAAUCAGAAAGCCACGGCUAACUACGUG
rnacentral:rRNA from 1 species